rnacentral:rRNA from 1 species
AGAGUUUGAUCCUGGCUCAGGAUGAACUGCUAGCGAUAGGCUUAACACAUGCAAGUCGAGGGGCAGCAUUAUCAAAGCUUGCUUUGAUAGAUGGCGACCGGCGCACGGGUGCCUAACACGUAUGCAACUUGCCCAUAAAUCGUGGAUAACCCGGAGAAAUUCGGACUAAUACUCGAUGGUAUUAUUAAGAGGCAUCUUUUAAUAAUUAAAGAUUUAUCGAUUAUGGAUAGGCAUGCGCAUGAUUAGCUAGUUGGUGGGGUAACGGCUCACCAAGGCGACGAUCAUUAGGGGUUCUGAGAGGAAGGUCCCCCACACUGGUACUGAGACACGGACCAGACUCCUACGGGAGGCAGCAGUGAGGAAUAUUGGUCAAUGGACGAGAGUCUGAACCAGCCAAAUCGCGUGAAGGAAGACUGCCCUAAGGGUUGUAAUCUUCUUUUGUGUGGGAAUAAAAAGAGGGACGUGUCCCUCAUUGUAUGUACCAUACGAAUAAGGAUCGGCUAACUCCGUGCCAGCAGCCGCGGUAAUACGGAGGAUCCGAGCGUUAUCCGGAUUUAUUGGGUUUAAAGGGUGCGUAGGCGGGAGAUCAAGUCAGUGGUGAAAUGGUGUGGCUCAACCAUAGCAUUGCCGUUGAAACUGGUUUUCUUGAGUGUAAAUGAGGUAAGCGGAAUGUGUUGUGUAGCGGUGAAAUGCAUAGAUAUGACACAGAACUCCAAUUGCGAAGGCAGCUUACUGGGAUACAACUGACGCUGAGGCACGAAAGCGUGGGGAGCAAACAGGAUUAGAUACCCUGGUAGUCCACGCAGUAAACGAUGAUUACUAGCUGUUUGGGAUAUAAUGUAAGUGGCUAAGGGAAACCGAUAAGUAAUCCUCCUGGGGAGUACGUUCGCAAGCAAUGAAACUCAUAGGAAUUGACGGGGGCCCGCACAAGCGGACGAACAUGUGGUUUAAUUCGAUGAUACGCGAGGAACCUUCCCCGGGCUUGAAAUGCAGAAGACGAAUCAAGAAACUGAUUUUCCAGCAACGGUUUCUGUGUAGGUGCUCCAUAGUUGUCGUCAGCUCGUGCCGUGAGGUGUCGGCUUAAGUGCCAUAACGAGCGCAACCCUUCCCACUAGUUACUAACAGGUAGCGCUGAGGCCUUUAAUCGGACUGCCACCGCAAGGUGUGAGGAAGGUGGGGAUGACGUCAAAUCAGCCCGGCCCUUACGUCCGGGGCGACACCCGUGUUACAAUGGGUGGGACCGAAAGUGGGUAAGUGGUGACACAGCGGUAAUCUCCAAACCCUCUUUCAGUUUGGAUCGGAGUCUGCAACUUGACUCCGUGAAGCUGGAUUCGCUAGUAAUCGCGCAUCAGCCAUGGCGCGGUGAAUACGUUCCCGGGCCUUGCACUCACAGCCCGUCAAG